rnacentral:rRNA from 1 species
AUGGCAGCAAAGCUCAAGCCCAUGGAUGCGGAUCUGGAGAUCAAACCAGCACUCCUGGUCCACCUGGUCAUGGCUUCACUGCCACAAGAGUUUGCAACUUUUGUUGUAAACUAUAAUAUGUCACCUGGAACAUGGGACAUUGAAAAGACAAUAGCAAUGUGUGUCCAAGAAGAGGACAGACUCAAAGCCGCACAUGGUGGUUCAAUCAACUAUGUGAAGGAUUGGAAGAAAAAGAACUACAAUCAAAACAACAAAAGUUCUCCUUCAAAGAAUGGAAAAGCCCCCUAUCAGCAUCAGCAUCAGCAACAGCCUUUCUCAGUGGACAAAGACACGUGUCUCCACUGCAAGCAGAAAGGGCAUUACAAGAAAGACUGCGCUGCUUGGCUGAAGUCAGUCAUGGCAAAAAAAGGAUUCCGUUCGACACGAACUACGCUAAGAAGCGAAAGACGCAUUGAAGUGGCAAACGGAGUUGAAGCAGAAGUUGAAGCUGUCAGUGAUAUCUUCUUGGAGUUAGCUGACGGAUUCAAUCUUCUACUUAGAGAUGUUUUAUUUGUUCCAUCAUGUCAUAGAAACUUAAUUAGUGUUUCUUGUUUGGACAAAGAUAAUUAUGAAUGUCAUUUUGGACAUGGCAAGUGUGCCAUUUGGUAUAAUAAUGCUUAUGUGGGUGAUGCUUUA